rnacentral:lncRNA from 1 species
ACUUCUCCCCAGAGGAAGGCAAGGAUGUGGAGGGUGAAAGCGGGCUCGCAGACACGAAUAUGACCAACGUGAUGCAGUGUGACUCUCAGGAUUAUGUAGUUAUAUAAGACUUGGUCUGUUUGAAAGAUUUGAAGAAGCCAGCUACCCUGAGGUCUACAUCUUUCCACAGCCUUGGUGUUGGAACCUAAUCCUCAACGUGGUGGUAGGUUUACCACCUGAAGCAGAGAACAGCCCUCACCAGAUACUGAACCAGCUGGUGCCUUAACAUUGGACUUCCAGCCUCCAGAACUGUGAGAUGAGGACCAGAUCAUCAUGACAUGGCCUCCUAAAACAUCCUUUCGAGGGCAAAGGAGACAGAAGAAAGUGACCUCCUAGCAACUGCCUGUGCAAAGAAGAGACUCAACAAAAGAAAAGACUUCUCUCAUGAAGACCCAAGAGCUUCAGGGUCAGAAUGAGGAUAAGAAUUUGGUACUGCUGACAUUUCUACACCUACUCUUCUGUGCUUUUGCCUUGAAAUCUUGAGAACUUCCCUGCUCAAAGAUAAAACCUCAUACACUACAUGAAAUUUCUUUGUUUUUCGGUAACUCUUUCUCUUUGGUCAGAUUCAAGCUGUUUUGAGAUACCCAAACUACUGUUUGCUGAAGUCAACUCAAUAAUUAAAAACAACAACAAGUGAUAUCAAUUAUUUGACACUAUACAGACAAAACAACCUACUGCAUGAAUUAUAGGCUACUUCUACCACUGCCCAGAUGAAAUGGGAUCAAAGUGGACACUUGCCUACUUCCAAACUUAGGUAAAAAUGGAGACAGACAGGGUGACAAACAGGAAAGCAUUUUGACCAUCCAUAUAUGUGGCUCUGUUUCAACAGUGUUUGCCAUAUACCACAGGCAGCUACAAGUGAUGUUUCUCAUUGUAAAUAUAUUCUUCAGAUUGCAAAAAUAUUUUGCUCUUUGGUUGUUUUUAUUUGAUGGAUUCAGUGCCAUGUGCCACAGGCAAAGCCCUGUGCUAGAAGAUGAAGAGGCACAGAUGAUUAUAAAGCAGAAU